AUGAAGACCAUUCUCAGCAAUCAGACUGUCAAUAUUCCAGAAAAUGUCGACAUCACUCUGAAGGGGCACAGAGUCAUUGUGAAGGCUGCAGGGGAACUCUGCAGAGGGCCUUCAGUCACAUUAAUGCAGGGCUGAGUCUCCUUGGAAAGAAAAAGAAGAGGUUUAGGGGCAAUAAAUGUGGGGUAACAGAAAGGAACUGGCCACUGUCAGAACCAUCUGUUCUCAUGCUCAGAACACAAUCAAGGACAUUACACUGGCC
rnacentral:lncRNA from 1 species